CAAGAACUCGGAACCAUUCGCGCUGCACAACCGACUGCGCCCGAAGGUAUCCAAUCAGGAGCUGUUCACACUGUUUUUCGAGAUGACCCGAGAGAAUGAGGAACCGGAUGUGGAGGUCGUGGCAGCUGUCCGAGGUAUCAACCUCAGGGAGGCGUUGCAGCCGUUGUUUGAGAGGCGAGGCAUUGAUAUGGACGCCGUCGACAUAUUCCUAGAGGCAUCCAACACUCCGCUACCGCUGCAGUUCGACACAUUCCCGCUA